CUACGGAGGGGGCUAGCGUUGUUCGGAAUUACUGGGCGUAAAGCGUACGUAGGCGGACUGAUCAGUUGGGGGUGAAAUCCCAGGGCUUAACCCUGGAACUGCCUUCAAUACUGUCAGUCUUGAGUUUGGGAGAGGUGAGUGGAAUUCCUAGUGUAGAGGUGAAAUUCAUAGAUAUUAGGAGGAACACCAGUGGCGAAGGCGGCUCACUGGCCCAUUACUGACGCUGAGGUACGAAAGCGUGGGGAGCAAACAGGAUUAGAUACCCCAGUAGUCC
rnacentral:rRNA from 1 species